rnacentral:rRNA from 1 species
CUAAUACCGCAUAAGACCACAGCACCGCAUGGUGCAGGGGUAAAAACUCCGGUGGUACAGGAUGGACCCGCGUCUGAUUAGCUGGUUGGUGAGGUAACGGCUCACCAAGGCGACGAUCAGUAGCCGGCUUGAGAGAGUGAACGGCCACAUUGGGACUGAGACACGGCCCAAACUCCUACGGGAGGCAGCAGUGGGGAAUAUUGCACAAUGGGGGAAACCCUGAUGCAGCGACGCCGCGUGAGUGAAGAAGUAUCUCGGUAUGUAAAGCUCUAUCAGCAGGGAAGAAAAUGACGGUACCUGACUAAGAAGCCCCGGCUAACUACGUGCCAGCAGCCGCGGUAAUACGUAGGGGGCAAGCGUUAUCCGGAAUUACUGGGUGUAAAGGGUGCGUAGGUGGUAUGGCAAGUCAGAAGUGAAAACCCAGGGCUUAACUCUGGGACUGCUUUUGAAACUGUCAGACUGGAGUGCAGGAGAGGUAAGCGGAAUUCCUAGUGUAGCGGUGAAAUGCGUAGAUAUUAGGAGGAACAUCAGUGGCGAAGGCGGCUUACUGGACUGAAACUGACACUGAGGCACGAAAGCGUGGGGAGCAAACAGGAUUAGAUACCCUGGUAGUCCACGCCGUAAAC